rnacentral:rRNA from 1 species
AACGCGAAGAACCUUACCAAGGCUUGACAUGCAGGGAAAAGCCGUGGAGACACGGUGUCCGUAAGGGUCCUGCACAGGUGGUGCAUGGCUGUCGUCAGCUCGUGUCGUGAGAUGUUGGGUUAAGUCCCGCAACGAGCGCAACCCUUAUCCUAUGUUGCCAGCGGGUAAUGCCGGGGACUCAUGGGAGACUGCCGGGGUCAACUCGGAGGAAGGUGGGGAUGAGGUCAAGUCAUCAUGCCCCUUAUGUCUUGGGCUGCAAACAUGCUACAAUGGCCGGUACAGAGGGCUGCGAGACCGCAAGGUGGAGCGAAUCUCAAAAAGCCGGUCUCAGUUCGGAUUGGGGUCUGCAACUCGACCCCAUGAAGUCGGAGUCGCUAGUAAUCGCGAAUCAGCAACGUCGCGGUGAAUACGUUCCCGGGCCUUGUA